rnacentral:rRNA from 1 species
AGCGAACGCUGGCGGCAGGCUUAACACAUGCAAGUCGAGCGGGCACUUCGGUGUCAGCGGCAGACGGGUGAGUAACACGUGGGAACGUGCCCUUCGGUUCGGAAUAACUCAGGGAAACUUGAGCUAAUACCGGAUACGCCCUUUGGGGAAAGGUUUACUGCCGAAGGAUCGGCCCGCGUCUGAUUAGCUAGUUGGUGGGGUAAUGGCCUACCAAGGCGACGAUCAGUAGCUGGUCUGAGAGGAUGAUCAGCCACACUGGGACUGAGACACGGCCCAGACUCCUACGGGAGGCAGCAGUGGGGAAUAUUGGACAAUGGGCGCAAGCCUGAUCCAGCCAUGCCGCGUGAGUGAUG